GGUGCAGCGGCAGCUUUCUGUUAAUGGAGAGCUCCGGCGGCGCGGAUGGGCGUGAACGGGUCAGCUGAAUUUCGAGGCCAUCAGGCCACGCUCUCAGCGUCUGCUCCGCCAUCUGACUGGAGUCGAGUUGCUUGGCGAAGGUGGUACGGUGCAGGCUCCAAAAGGAGUGGAGCCGCACAGCUUCGAGGAUGCAAACGAGCAGGAAAAGGUCCGCUGCAGCGCGAAGCGGGGAACGGCUGAAGU
rnacentral:SRP_RNA from 14 species